rnacentral:lncRNA from 1 species
CGUCCAGUAUGAUUGAAACAAGAUGUGCUAGAUUACUAUAUAUCAUGAUAUGCUGCACACGUUUCAAACUUUACAAUCCCCAAAUCUGUUUCAAUGUUUACAAAUGCAGGUUUGGGAUACCGGUGAAUCUUUCAACUUUGCUGCACUUCAUGCAAUCAUCUGCACUCGAGGUCAUAUCCAGCGCUUGCAACUUCAUUUCUAAACAUAUUAAAACAAUUUAGCAAAACCGAUCGAAUACUCUUUUCCAGACAUAAACUGCUUGUAGACCAUCCUAAACAAGGCAUGCUCGACUAGUUAUCUGACCAACAAUUUCCCUGUAAUUGCAAUGGUAGUGGGUAGUGGCUCCUGGCUGGCUAGCAGCUACCUUUCAAGCAUUGAAUUCCAAGAAACAAUUGAAAAUUGUGUCAUUUGCAGUCUAAUAAUGGCAGAUGUUUCAGUUUGAGGACUGCAGUCAUGACUCAUUUUAAUAGAUGUCAGGGAUUUAGUGCAUAAGCUAUAAUGUUUUUAUGAUAUAAACAGGAAAAGUUCGGUUAUGACUCAGAAGAAAAGCAACUUAACUUGUUGAUGCAUCCUUACCAUCGGGUAACAAUUUUGGCGGAUGAUAGUCUGAUUGGUUCUAUUUACCACAAUCUCACAUGAGACUCUUGCCUGUAGAAAAAUUACAAUAAAGACAAUGUAAAAUCAUGAAACAGAAGACAAUUCAUUUUGAAAAAUAAGCUGCUGUAAUGAUAAGACAAUGCAGAAGCAACAAAACUUUAGAAUAUGACAUUAAUGCUUCCAUUUCAUUGUAUUUCUCUGCGCAAAGGUUUGAGAAUUGAAGUGAGGGUGCUCAAUUGCAAACUUGCCAUGAGAAGCAACACAAAAAAGGUAACUGAUUGAACCCAAAAAUGCACAUUCAAAAUGUAGUCAAAAUCAUCAAAAGGCAGAAGCAGUCUGUAUAGAACAUCUGAGACAAUAUAGCAUAUCAGCAUUUCAACACAAAAACAAGAAAUCAUGAAUCUUCAUUCUGUUUGUUUCAACUCCCAAACUUAGGACCAUUUAUCUUGUGGUCAAAAUGGAAUGUUAACAGUACAGCUCUAGAUGCUCAUUUAACAAAGGCUAUUACAUGAGUUCUUUAACCAAUGACUUCCAUAUCAAUAAGUUUCUUCUGAAAAAGGAACUGUGAGACUAAACUCCCUCAAUCACUUAUAUAAAGAAAAUAAAUAAACUGACUCUGCAAGCACAGUAAGUUUUAACGUGCUAGCUAGUAUAUUAAUCCCACAGGAUAGGGCUAACUAAUUAAUUUCCUUGAAGCAACAAACAUUUUGAGAAAUGUAGACUAAUUAGUCACAUAGCCUUGAUUCGAAGGACUAACCAUCAAAGUUCAAGAUUGAAGAAUUGAAGAUGAAAACCACUAAGCAACAAAUUUUGCUUAGAUCAUUUUCUUAGGCAAUGUUUAGUUGGCGUAAAUCAGCUUUGAUGGUUAGCCUCAAUUGAAAAUUUUCCCAGAAAACAAAUUCAGUAUGGCAAUCAACGCCACAAAAACAAACCUUUAAGCUUAAUUUAGCUAAAGAUUACAAGCAACGGAACCAGCACCAACACGUUUUAGUGCUUCGAAGAGACGCUAUCAACAUUAAUUAAACGAACCUACAUCAAGCUUCGACCUUAAUAUAGCCAGUCUUUAAACCUAUAAUAAACUAAAAAUAAAAUUAUAUAAAAUAGCAGAACAGACCCUCAUAAGAUAAAUCUUAACAUAUACAAAUGUAGGUCUUGACAAAUAAGGUCUAAUUAAGAAAGCAAAUAUAACAAUUCAAAGAAGAAAAGUUUUGGCUUUUUUACCUUCAAAGGGAACUUAAACAAGGACAGACCAAGCCAGCCUGCAACCUCCGUAACAGUAUCAAACGGGACAGUUCCCCUGGCCAAGUCCUCCAGCAUAUACACAACGUCGGACAACACUUCAACCCCAUUAAGCUCCAGCUCUGCCUGCACGUAAGACGAACCCCACGCCCUCACGUGACCAUGCUCCGACGUCACGUGCCCCAGCAUCUUCCCUCUGUACCCAACGGCCACGUCCAAGCUAGUAAAGUCCACGGAAUACACGUCCGAAUUCCUCACUUUCAAAGUAACCAACAAAGAUAUAUCUAGUGCUAUGAUGGGUAUGGUAUGCAGUUGCAUGCGGUCUACGUGCAUCCUUACAAUCUUUACUUCAGGGUCAGACGGCCAGAAAAUGUACACCGAGGUAGCUAGCAACACCAAGGAAGCCGUGCAUAGUAUCCGACAACCGCACCAACGGAGUGUCGGGCGGUAGUAGGGCAAAACUAAGUAGUUUUGAUCGGGAGGUUGAGAUGGUAAAGCAGUGAAGUAGUGGCAUGGGGACGAUGGUUCUUCCGGUGGUGGUGGUUGUUCAAGUUUUGAGAAAACCAUUGGCGUGUGAGAGAAAUGUCAGGACUUAGGACUUAGGAGUGUGUGUGUGUAAGGGAAGAGUAUGUAUGUUUAGAGGAAGGUGGGUUUUUUGUUUGCUUUCUCUUUGUUGAGUUUGCUUUGAGUGUAGCAAUCGUGAAAGUUUUGUCUUUCUCCUUUGGGUUAAAAGAAGAUAUUUGGUUUUUGUCAUGAGAUAGGAAAUAGUAAUUAGAAACCAUGUGAAUGAUUAGUUAUGUAGUGCCAACCGAUGCACCAAAAUGACACUCAAUGCUCACUGGGCCUUAUUCCUGCAUUUCUAACACUUUAAGAUGAGACCUAAACCAUUGCACCGGACAUUCUGGUGAGACAGCUGGGUCCUUAUAUGUAAGAAGAUAUGGUUGCACCAUGAUUUGUUAUGUACUAUUAACCAUACUACCAGAAGAAUCCCAAAGAGAUAAGGUUUUUUUUUUUUGAAAAAAUAAAGCAAAUAUGAAAAAUAUUUUAACUGUAUGAAAAGGAUUUGCUAUUAGAUAAUUUUUCACUGUGAGAGUUCAAAUUUGAGGUAAGACUUGAAAUCAGGAUAAAAACUACUUUUGCCAAAAAUCAUUGUCGCAACCAUUAAUGUUUGAGGAAAUUGUGAGAAAAGGACCUCGUGAUAAGGUAAUUUCAGAAAUAAUCACCUAUAUAAAGUUAUCUGUUUCUAGUAAAAAAUAAACAUGAGUAAACCAAAAUACCCUUAAAAACAUCGUUUCAAAUAAAUGCUAAGCUGUUUGAGCUAUUUGCCUCCUGCUAGAGAGAAAAUGAAAAACAUUAAAAAUAAAUGCGUGCAGCUGUUUGGACUCGAUCAUCUUUCUCUGUCUCAACUCUAGCAAGUCUUUGUUGAGCACCAUCGUUGUCAGCUCUCUCAGAUCUCUGAACUGUAUGAGCUCUGUCAACUCUCUGUUGAGCACCAUCAUCAUCGGGCUGUGGUCUAUCUCUCAGCAUCUGGUCACAUUGUCGUAGAUUAACACACCUUAUAGUAGAGAUGACAUCAAGGUACUUGUUAUUGGGUUUAUUUCUGUAACACACUUAAAUUUCUGAAACAUUUGGUGUAAAUGAUAAGAUGGAUUAGAAACAUUGCCCAGAGUUGUUACACCCCAUGCAUCUAUAACAUGAGUUAGAGUUAUUUUAGUGUGUUACGACUGUUCCUGGCGUGUUGUGGGUUAACUAGUUUUUUGGGUUGUUAGCGUGUCACGGCUAUUCCUAGGGUGUGGUGGGUUAACUGAAUUUAUGGGUUUUUGGUGUGUCACGGCUGUCCCUGGUGUGUCGUUGGUUAAUUGGUUUUUUGAGUUUUUAGCGUGUCACGGCUGUUGGUGUAACCAGUUAGUAAUUAUAGUGAUUGGCGUGUCACGACAGUGAUGCAUGGCAUGUAACGAUACUGAUGCAUGGCGUGUCACGACAUUUGACUUGAUUUGCAUGGCGUGUUACAACAUUUUACAUUAUAUGCAUGGCAUGUAACAACACGACUGACAAAUUUUUGAUCACGGCAUGUAUUGUGUAAAAUGAUUGAUAAUAUAUUUUUUUUAAAAUUUUAGUGGGGUUCCAAUUGUUCGACUUAUGAUAAGACACGGUGGUCAGUGGGUGGAUGGCAUUUACAAGGGUGGUGAGUCACGAAUACGAGGGGUUGGGAGUGAUUUGUCGUUUGUGGGCUUGAUGAAGCUGGUUGAAGAUGUUGUUGGGGUAAACUCAAAAAUUGACGAGAUUGAGUUACAUGCAUUGAUCAGUACACCCGGAGAGUUAUCACGGCCAAUUAUCAAGGACGAUGAGGAUGUUGCAUUAAUUUUGCUAGAACAGAGGAAUGUUUCGGCUGUGUAUGUUAGCAUUAAGGGACGCCAAACAAAUGUUAUGUCACAUGGAGAAGUUGGACAACAUGGUAAUCAGCUCAAUCAAAAUGAGAUUUACAAUGCUUCACAUAUACCACAGCAUUCGAUCCGUAACCCACAACAAUGGCAAUUAAGGUAUGCAUAAGAGUUUGUGCAGCUCGGUAGACAGACGACAUUCACAGAAUAGUUGGCUGCACAAUUUCGAUCAGGAUGUGCAUCAAACUAAUUUCUUGCUUCUCUUGAACAAAUGCAACAAUUGGCUGAAACUGUAGAGUGUGUAAUGCCAUUGUCAAAUGAGAAUACGACAGUUAAGGACAACAAAUGUGAGGUUGGAGGGUGACACUGCGACGCUUGAGGAUAAUACUGCAUUUGAUGAGGGAAAUGAGGAUUUGUUUGCUGUCGGUGAAGAUAGAUUUGAUGACACUUCAAAUGAUGGGCUUCAACAAUCGCAAGAUGACAGUUCAGACGAUGACUACCUUUAUGAUAGUGACAUUCCAAUUUGCAAUAAUGUUGAAGGCGAAACGAAACCUGUUGGAGGUGUUGAUGUAGGAGAUGUUUAGUGUAAUGACCCCAUAUACAAUAACCCCAUCGCUGGUGAGAACGGGAUUCGUUCCUUUGAUACAUUGCUCGAUGACAGUGAUCAGGAAAGGGGAAAUGCAGGGAUAUCUCGUACGUGGGUAAUUACAGGUGUAGAAAGGUUCUCAUUCCAAAUAAUUACCAUUGAGGAGUCGAUAUGUACCGAAGAUCGCUUAUACAAAGGAAGAAUGUUUUCGUCGAAGGCCGAGUUGAAAUGAGCUUUGAACAUGUUGGUUAUAAAAGAGAAGUUUGCGAUAAGAGUAAAAAGGUCAUGUAAAGCUCGUUAUGAGGUUAGUUGCAAGGACAAGGCAUGCAAGUUCAGUGUUCAUGCAACGAAGUUACUUGAUAGAGGAGAAUAUUAGAAAGUUCGGACAUUCCACAAAGUACACACCUGUACCGUUGAUGGUUUGCUAGGGCGGUUUCCAACUACGAGUAUGAAGAUGAUUAGUGAACUUAUGUCACACAAGAUUCGAGCUAAUGGAGUAGCAUUGAGACCUAAGGACAUAAUUUGUGAGAUGAGGGUUCAGUGGGGAUUGGAAUGCUUGGCAAGUGAAGGAGUAUGCAGAGAGGCUUGUUUUCGGUCCACAAGAAGAGUCAUUUCAACUACUACAAUCGUAUUUUUAUAUGUUGGAACAAGAAAAUCCUGGCACAGUGACUGUAGUGGCUACUGAUGAGGAAAAGAGAUUCAAAUAUUAUUUUUGGUCAUACGGGGCUUGUAUUCGGGGGUUUAGGGAUGUAAUGCGUCUUACGGUUGCAAUUGAUACUACACAUCUGAAAGGCAGGUUCGAUGGUGUUCUGUUUGUCACUGUAUGCAAAGAUGCGAACAAGUGCGUAUAUUCAGUUGCGUUUGGCAUCAGCCAUGUUGAGGACGAAGACUCGUGGACGUGGUUUCUUAGCAAGCUACGUGAUGCAGUUGGUUAUCUUGAAAACACUAUGUUCAUUUCUAAUCAGCAUCUCGGCAUUAAGAAAGCAAUCCAAAAUGCAUACCCAGAAGCGCACCAUGGUUUAUGCAGUUACCACUUGAAAAAAAAACUUUAAAAACAAGUUCAAGCGCAACGAUGUUUGUAUGCUUUUCACCCUUGCUCGAGAUUGCUAUAAGGUGGCCAAUUUCAACAGACAUAUGAACUAGAUAUAGCAGAUUCACUUGGGAGCCCAUGCAGACCUUAUGAGAAUAGGGCUUGAGAAAUGGGCACGUGCAUGUUCACCGGCAAGGCGAUACCAAAUGAUGACAUCCAACAUUGCGGAAUGUGUUAACACAUGCUUGAAGCAUGCAAGACAAAUGCCGAUCAUUGUUUUGAUCGAGUUCAUCAGAGACAUAUUCUAACGUUGGUUCCAUGAACAGUACGAGGAGGCCAUCAAGGUGACCACGCCCCUCAGCCCUUGGGUUGCCAAGCAGUUGAGUAAAAGGUUCAAUGAUGCACAUCGCUUUCUAGUUAAGCCUAUCAAUCGAGUGGAGUUCGAAGUUAAAGAUGGGAAGAUGGACGAACUUGUAAACCUGUCUAGGAAGACGUGUUCAUGUUGUGAGUUCCAAACAGAUUUACUGUCAUGCAGCCAUGCCAUUGCAGCAAUAAAGUCAAAAUAUCUUUAUUUCUUAUUUGAACCGUAAUUGACAUAGCAUUUACAUUGUGCUUGAAGAUUGAGUUUAUUGUGUUUUUUAGCAAAUGCAAUCGUGAAGCCAUUGAAUUCUGCACUGACUACUACAAGACAACCAUUUUCGUGGAGGGUUAUUCGAGAUCCAUUAGGCCGGUAGGGCAUCUUAGUGAGUGGGACAUCCCUCCUUAUGUGAAACAAAUUGUCGUCUUGCCCCUACCUUGGAGAGGCAAAGUAGGAAGACCUAGGAGGAGAAGGAUUCCAUCAGCUGGUGAAGGCAGUCGAGCACAGAGAUGUUCGCAAUGCAAGAGGUACGGGUAUAACAAACAGAACUGCCCAUCCCCAUUUGCAAUUCCAUCCACAAAUCCGACACCAUUUCCAAGUCAAUCGACGACUCCAUGACUGCACCAACCUAAAGCAUGUUCAAGUUGUAGACAAACCUGGUCACACACGCAACAACUGUCCAAUACGAAGGACAAUAUCUAAAAAUGUAGGGUGUGUUGUGAAUGAAGACAGCCUGACCGCCUAACUAAAUGUUUCUGAAAAUUGUAGUUGAAUUCGUUUUGCUUUACGGAUUUGUCUGCUCGGUCAUUCUAUGAGCCACUUUUAGUUACGGACUUUGUUGCCAAACAUUUUAGGCAGAUAAGCUUGUCAAGGCCUCUGUAUGAUCAAGAUAAUGUUAAAGUAUAUUCUUACAUUGUUUGUAAAAAUGUUUCCGAUUAUAAUCUCCAUCAGACAGGAGCCUUGACAAACUUAUCUGCUUGAAAUGUUUGGUAACAAAGUCCAUAACUAAAAGUAGCUCAUAGAAUGACCGAGCAGACAAAAUGUCAAGAUCCUCAUACUGUAUGCGUUGGAUCUGCAAAACAUGGCACAAAUGCACCAGUGAGUUAAGCCAUAAUGUGCAACAAGGUAUACAGAAGAAAUAAAUAAGGAAUAAAUAUGAGACACGCCAUGCAUAACAAGUAAAAUGUUGUGACACGUCGUGCAUAUCAAAUAAAAUAUUGUGACACGCCAUGCAUAACAAGAAAAAUUUUAUGACACGACAUGCAUAACAAGUUAAACGUUGUGACACACCAUGCAUAACAGGUUAAUCGUUGUGACAUGCCAUGCAUAACAAGUAAAUUGUGCUGACACGCCAUGCAUAACAAGUUAAACGUUGUGACACGCCAUGCAUAACAAUUAAAUUGUUCUGACCCACCAUGCAUAACAAGUAAAUUGUGCUGACACGUCAUGCAUAACAAGUUAAACGUUGUGACACGCCAUGCAUAACAAUUAAAUUAUUCUGACCCGCCAUGCAUAACAAGUUCUGGUGUGUAAUUUUAGACGUACUAUUUUAUAACGGCAGGAUAGAAUUUUGGCUUGGAAACAACUGAAAAAAUAAGGGAGGAUGGAUACAGAACAAUUUCAUGCUGAGAGCAAUUAGAUGGAUGGAAAAAUCUAUAUAUUCAAUGUUAAUCAAUGUAAUAUUGGGCUGGUGCAACCUGUGUGCUUGGAAGAGAAAGAUGACGAACCUGAAAAUUAAUUAAUGCCAACCUGGGUUGAGUGCAGAGACCACCAAAGUGAGCGGGGGAUAAUUACAAGUUGCCAAUUCUGAUCAAUGAGUAUUAUAUAUGUCGCCGUCAGAAUCGGAUUCGCCUAAAAUGAUCCUGGCGCCUCUGUUUAUGGUUUUUAUAAUAUAUAAUAAGUGUUUAAAAUGAAAAUUGGCCUUGGCAUAUUCCCAUUUAGUCGUUUAGGAUUUAGGAAUUAAUUCAGUUGAAGUCGAAACGGUUUUUUUUUUUAACUUCAGUGGAAUUCGAAACGGUUACCAUGGCGUGUCAGCUGUUGAAGCAAUAGCAUGUCACAGUCUUCUCACAUAUUCUAACUGUGGCGUGUCAUAAAUUCUUAACCCUGCUGUUUCACAAUCGUGACCCGAUGAGUGCAAGCAGAUUUAUGGCGUUACAUGGCAGACUUGAUGCAGUAUCGUGGGGUCACACGCGACGGCCCAAUUCUUAUGACACACCGACUAGAAGCAGAUUAAUGGCAUCACAAGCUGAGUAUCUGGAGAUUUAUGGCGUGACAUGGCACGACCCAAUUGUUCUGACACGCUGAGUGUAAGCAGAUUUAUCGGCUAACAAGCCGAGUGUUAGUAGAUUUACGGCAUCACACGCUGACUUCUUGCAGAUUUUUGGGGUGACACGUUGAGUGCAAGCAGAUGUAUGUGGGGACACGCUGAGUGGUAUCAUGUUUAUGGCGUCACACGUUGACUUCUUGCGACUAUGUAUCAAAUUAAAUAUAUUGUAUAUAGAAAAGGAAAAAACUUUUUGGUAUCAAAUUAAUUGUGUAUAGGCAAAAAAAUUAAUUAUAUAUAAAAUAAUUGUACAAAGUAUAUUGUGUAUACAGAAAGAAUUAUUUCUCUUUACAAUGAAUUGUAUAAAAUAAAUUAUGUAUACAAAAAAUGUGUAUAAAAUGAAUUGUAUAAAAAAAAUUCUGUAUACCAAAAAAAUUAUACAGACAAGGGCCUACAUGUUCAGGGUUGGCUCUCACAACUGUUGGAAAAAAUUUUCAGAGCAUAUUGCUGACUCAUUUUUGCAAUCAUAUUCUGCUUAAUUUCGAUCUUUUCUGAUUGCAAAAUAUGCUCCAUGUACCCUAUCAUGAACAUACAGCAGUUAACACUAUCAUUCUGCCGAUGCACUUUAACUUUUGGUAAAAGAAUAUGCAAUGGCAUCGGUGUCAAAUUUCAUCUCUUUCGACGUAUGUUGUUAUAAUAACCAGCUUGGUGGCAGAUGAAUGGCAUCAUUGUCGUCAAAGGUGUCAUCUGACCCGCACUAACUCCGUUAUCCUUAGCAUCUGAAGUUCUUGCUGAGUCCACCACCUUGAUUGUCCACCUCACCAAGUUGAUCUUCGCAACCACCAAAUGCCCACUAACGUUGCAAGGCGCGAGGAUGAAAUUCACAUCUUCCCAUUUUUUGGCGUACGUUGGCCUUUCACCCUCCACAUAGCCCCGCAACUCAUCUGAAAUUUGCAUUGUGGCUCGGGGCAUUUUCUGUUGGAAAUUUGGUGUGUAGCAUACGGAUGGUGUCCUGUGAAACAUGUAAACAUUAGCUUACACUUCAUGCAAUCAAAAACUUAGUAUUUAUAGAAUUGAACAAUUUUCAAAUAAACUUACGAAGAAUAUAGUGUCAACCACGCAUGCACGGGUAGUGUACAGCUUUGACUUCGGCCCUGUCAUUCGCUUACGGAGUAGGCUGAGGCAUGCGUCGAUACGUUCACUUGUCAAUUCCUCAUUGGGAUCCUCUAAAGUUAUGAAAAAGUCAACCCCUUGAUCCCCUAAGAUGCUGACGUUAUGCCUGCAUAUGUAACAUAAUGAAUUUCAUAAGUCUUGGUGGAUAAUUGUUUCAUUAAAAAACAGUAUUUGUAAUUUUAUUUACAAGCUUACCUCGCGGACUUCUCUUUCUUGAAAGCUUCGUAAUCUUCUAUGAUUUUAUCUCUCACAUCUCGACGGGUUACUAAGGGGUCGACGAAUGGGCUUGCCAUGUAUUUGCUCACCAUUUUCAGCCGUGCCCGUUCAGUUGGGUCUGAAAUUUCUGCUGCACCAUGAUGGACAGCAGAUGACUCUGGUGACGACCACUGUAUCUCAACAACAUCAGGAGUGCUCCCACGAUAAAGAACGAUAGCUCUUGCUGCUGCGUCGACAAAUGCAUCAGUCGGAGGAAGAUGCUCUCAUUCAGCAUCAUCUGACUGAAGGGUGACAUCCACUGCCACAGCUUUUUCGACGACAUCAUCAACAUGAGUUAUGUGCUCUCCGUUAGCACCAAGAACAUCAUCGUCAAUGUCAACACCAGGUUCAUGAUGCUGUCCAUCAUUAGCAUCAUCGUGCUUCAGACCAGCACCUUGAGAUGCACUGCCCUACAAAAUUAGAAAAACUGUUAGUUAGCUCAUAAAAUACCACAAACCAUAAACAGUAAAAUGUUGUGACACGCAGUGCAUACCAAGUAAAAUGUUGUCACACGUCAUGCAAAACAAGUAAAAUGUCGUGAGACGCCAUGCAUAACAAGAUAAACUUGGUGACACGCCAAGGAUAACGAGCAAAAUGUUAUGACACGUCAUGAAAAACAAGUAAAAUGUUGUGACACGCCAUGCAUAACAAGAUAAACUUAGUGACACGCCAAGGAUAACAAGCAAAAUGUUGUGACACACCAUGCAUAUCAAAUCAAACGUUGUGACACGCCAUGAAUAAUAAGUAAAAUGUUAUGACACGCUAAGGCUGACAUGGCAAUAACUAACUAUAAUACAAACGUCUUGACCCGCUAAUGACCAAAAACUAGUUAAACCACUACCACUUAACGCCAAAAACCAUCAAACCAGCAAGAAACACAGUCUAAACAGUUGCUAAACGUAAACCAUCAAAAUACAAGCGAAGAUAAAAUAACGUACUUGUGAUUUAAGGCCGUCAAGAAUCCGACCAACGAUACGGUCCUCAAGCGCCUGCAUUGCUACACUCAAUGACUGAAUUGAAGCCUUCAACUCCAACAUCUCUUUUUCAUGCUUACGCAUGAUCCGUCGGAGCUGGCGGGUUGUGACUGCUUCGUCAUUGACUAUUCUCGACUGGGUCAACUACAAUAGCAUAUAUAACUGUGUUAUUCAAUAAUCAUAUAUGAAAUUGUUAAACAUUAGCCGUUACAACUUCAAUAUCCUAACAGGCGGCUCGUUAGCAGUUUACGGUGGAGUCAGACCGAUCGGUGCUUGAGAACCUGUCAUCGCUUCCGCAAACUGCAAUUACAUAUAUAACUGUGUUAUUGAAUAAUCAUGUAUGGAAUUGUUGAACAUUAACCGUUACAACUUUAAUAUCCUUACCACAGGCUCAUUAGCUGUCUGCGGUUGAGCUGGACUGAUCUGUGCUUGAGGACCUAUCGUCUUUUUCGUAAACUGUAAUUAUAGAAAUUACUGUGUUACUCGAUAAACAUAUGUGGGAAUGUAGAACACAAACCGUUAGAACCGAUCUUACCGAUGGGUCGAUUCCACUUUGCGUUUGAGGAGGACCAGUGGGUGGUUUUGGAGCUGCUAGCCCAUGGUCCAACUGCAAACACAGAAAUGUUAUUCGAUAAUCACAAAUGGAAUUGGAGAACACAAAACCGUUACAAUUGUCUUUACCGGCUGUUCACUACCUUGACCAUGGUCGUCUCCUUUGUCCAUCAACUCAUCAAUUAAAGCAGCAACGGUGUGCAUCUGCUUUGUGCCACUAGAGGCUCUUUUCUCCUUCAAGCUUCUCAUUUUUUGCCUCGCACCUAAGCCCCAAUCCGACCGAUCCUCCAUGUGCCUUAUUAGCAAGUACUCGUGGCCCUCCGAUAACGGGACAUCAAGGUCUACAAAAUACUCCCGGAGGGCCUCAUCCGCUGUGGGUUCCAACGUCUCCAAUGCCCACAACUAUAAAAAAACAAAUAAAAUGUUGUCAUUAUCAAAUAAGGAAAAUUAUUAUACAAAUAUAACGCAAAAAUUAGCAGUUGUUCACUCAUAUGGCCAGAUGACUCUAACUUCUGAAUUGCCUUGUAGAAGUCUUUUGGCUUUUGAUUGCAAUCCCAUCUGCACAUUCAUGGGUGGACGUUGUCCUUCGGACCAGAGGGGGCAACUAUUUUUUGGAGGGCCGAAAUUGCCUCCAUUGUCCAUAACUGUAUGUCAAAUGUAACCAUUAUCAGACCGUAAAUCAUAAACGAGUACAUCCAUAAAUUUUUUGUUCAAAAGGAAACUGAAAAAUAUUACAUGAUAGUACCUGUAUCACCCAUGCGAAUCCGUAAAUGUUGUAGCGUAACCGAGUUUCCUUUGUCACGCUUGAGUCAGGCACUUUGAACCCCUUCAAAAGGUAGUCCAAGGUCAGCUUUCAAACAUAGUGCCCCCAUGGGAAGACAUUCCAAGUGUCGAUGUCCUCCACCAAUGACAGCAACCAAGGCGUCACCCGUUUACGGUAGUCUUGACCAAAUAAAAUGUUAUUCGCGAUCAAGACGAGUGCCAUCUUGGUCGCUGAAAGUUGCCCUAGCGAAAGGUAUCAAGCAAAGCCUGCAACUUAACAUUGUCAUGCCCGUUCCAGUAUCUUGCAUGAAUUCCCUCCGUAGUAACCUCGUACGGUCAUCUGAACACAUCGUGCAUUGGACCAAACUUCAGCCCGGUGAUGAGGCAGAACUCUUGCCUUGGUAGCCGCGCCUUACUCUUGCCAAUGGCAAACCAUAGCUCGUGGUCCAUUGACUAGCUCUCAGUGAUCCGACGAAUCAUGAUGCUGUGUAAGAGACCGACAUAAAAGUACCCCUGUGGAUAGAUGUCCAGAAGCAUUCCGAAGCAAGUAUGCUUAACUAGAUUGUACUCCCCCUUCUGUUGGAGAGUCUUUGUGAUGUAAUGCAGUUGCGACCACUUACAGUGGGUGUUAUUGCGACGUUGAACGCCCACUUCUCCCUCGGCACGAUCAGCAAACUGUCAAGAUCCUCAUACUGUCUACACUGGAUCUGCAAAACUUGGCACACAUGCAUCAGUGAGUUAAGUAGUCAUGUGCAACAAGGUACACUGAAGACAUAAAUAAGGAAUAAAUGUUGUGACACGCCAUGCAUAAUAAGUAAAAUGUUGUGACACGCCAUGCAUAACAAGUUAAAUGUUAUGACACGCCAUGCAUAUCAAGUAAAAUGUUGUCACACGCCAUGCAUAACAAGUAAAAUUUUGUGACACAACAUGCAUAUCAAGUAAAAUGCUGUCACACGCCAUGCAUAUCAAGUAAAAUGCUGUCACACGCUAAUAAUUAACUAUAAUAACAAUGGCGUCACACGAUAAACACCAAAAACCCCUAAAACCACUACGACUUAACUACAACAACCAUCAAGCCAGCAAGAAAACACAGUCUAAACAUUUGCAAAACAAAACAAAAAACCCGAAUAUAUCAAACAAACCCAGGAAAAAACAAAAAAAAUAACGAAUACAAGAAUGUUACGAAUUUGAGACUCACUGACCUCUUCAUUCAUGGCCGACAUUUUUGCUGGUGUUAUGGUUUCGUUUAGCUUGCAAAGAGCCUUCUCGAACACUUCGGUACCGACGAAAAUGAGAAAUGAAUCACACAAACAUUACGAAUUCUGAAUAACAACUAUUUAAAAUGAAAAAUGGCCUUCUAAUAUUCUUAUUUAUUCUGAAAAAGGGGAAUUAAUUCAAUGGAAGUCCAAACGAUUACCACGUUAACUACCCGUUUUUUUUUUCUCUCUUUAUUUCAAACCAUGACGUGUCAGCUGCUCAAGCACUGCCGUGUCACACACUCUAAAUCAUGACCAUGGCGUGUCAGCUUUUCAAGCAAUGCCGUGUCACACACUCUAAACAUGACCAUGGCGUGUCACCAACUAUGAACUCUGACGUGUCACACCUUCCCUCCAUGGCGUGUCAUCAACUCUGAACUCUGACGUGUCACAGAUUUCCUCCAUGGCGUGUCACCAACUCUGAACGCUGAAGUGUCACAAAUUCCCUCCAUGGUGUGUCACCAACUCUUAACUCUAGCGUCUCACAGAUUCUAUCCAUGGGGUCUCACCAACUCUGAACAUUGGCGUAUUACAGAUUCCCUCCAUGCCAUGUCACCAACUCUUAAUAUGGCGUGUCACAGAUUCCUUCCAUGGCAUCUCACCAACUCUGAACGUUGUUGUGUCACAGAUUCCCACCAUGGCGUGUCACCAACUCUUAACUCUAACGUCUCACAAAUUCCCUCCAUGGCGUCUCACCAACUCUAAGCGGUGCCGUGUCACACAUUCCCAACAUGAUGUUUCACAAACUCUAAACCCUGUCCUGCGACAACCAUCUAACAUAUGACUUGCUAUAGCAAGACCAUUUCCUGCUUUGGAUUCACAUCUUUCUCCUUUCAAUUCACCACCGUAUCAAGGAUUUCUGGUUUCACAUCAUUAGCCAAGCUUUCCAUUCAUGACGAUUGGUUCCUCGUUCGAUUUAAUAUCUCUAUUCUCCUAUUAUCUGAAUGUCAUGUCCCAAAUCUCUGAAAACCCAUCUCAUGCAACAUUAUUUUGUUUUGAACAACUUUCGAAAAAAAAUUGGGUAUUUUGCACAACCAAUCUUUGCAUAUUUAUUUUUUUUCUCCCAUUUUUCACCUGUUUGAGAGUGCACGCUAACGAAGACGGCUCAUUAAGGGCAUUUUUGUCUCAAAAUUUUUUCUGGUGGCUAAAAACAGUUAAAAUUAUCCUGACGGUUAUUUACAAAAACACGUUAUUUAUAAGGGCUAAAAAAAAAUCCCCUUAAUGUUUUAACUAUAGGCACACGGAUGAGAAAAGGAAAGAUGCCUCUGCUACUAACCCUAGAAGGGAAUUUCGUUAUUUCAUAUAUACAAACAGGUUUGGAAUUGCAGUAGUGGUAGUGGUAUAAUUAAUCCUGUAUAGGCAUACGACUAUGAGUUCAAUCUACCAUUAAUUAAAUCAGCUGAUCAUGUCACUCAAGCUGAUCCCAAGUUCUUCACCACUAAUCAACAUGAUUAAAAUAGUUUUCUUUGUAGCAUAAGCACAACAGAAAGUUUGUCGUGUUCAUUAUUUAAAGGUUAAAAUCAAGGGCUAACAAUUAAUAUAAUGCAUUUUGAUCAAUUAAUUUGCCUGCUCUAUUUCCCAGAAAAAAUAAUAUUACUAUUUGGUAAUGUGCUUCUUCUUAGAAAGAUGAGAAGAAAGCUUGUUAAUUAAUUAACAAUCUUCAGUUUCAGCUACCUUAACCUAUUUUAUUUUUUAAAGCAUUCCUGCAAACUAGAGAGAAAUAGUAAGAUAAUCCUCAGUUGAAGAUUAAAAUCAUUUUCAUCAUCACUCAGCGUUGUUUACAAUUUUGCCAGUCUCACUUAAAUCUAAAGACAAAAAGAAGGUGCUCUAGGAUCCCCUUUUGCUAGAAUGGGUUGCUUCAACUUGUUCAAUACUAAAAGGUUCAGAAAAGAAAGGUGUCACUUUUAAAGCAUCUUCAGUUUUUUAUGAAGUAAUGAUCAAGGACAGAAGUGAAGAAACGAAGAAUAAAUGCUAUCAGUACAAGAAAAGAAUGAGAUGUUUCCAUUAACUAAUAUGACCAAAUAUUAAAGCUUGGCGAAUCUAAAGUUAAUUGAUUCAUCCUAUCAAAGUCAAGAUUAGACACACCAUAGUUUUGCUUAGCUUAACUUGCAUCCAUUCUUCUCAAAAACCAUUGAGGGAACAGCAAAUCGAGUUGAAAAAGACUUGGAGAGGUCAUCAGGAUCAGCUAACACCAAGCCCUGAUCAAAAUUCUGCAUAUAUGUGUAAGGAUCAUAAGAAACAUGCACCCGAGUACUCGAUGAACAAUCAAAGAUCUUCUCCUUUUCCCUCAUCAGCUUUCUCCAUACCAUUCUCCACCUUGGCAGCUUUGAUCUAGUCACCAACACAUUGAUUGAAAGCAUCCGGUCAUACUAGCUUUUUGCAUAGCCUUGAUAGUUAGAUAGUUUGUUAAUGUUGGAUUUAUUAAUGAAAAGUUGUGACUCAAGAAUUAUAAAUAAUUACCUUAUUAAAAUAUAACUUUUGAAAGGUUAUUAGAUAUAAUUAUUGAAUAAUUGUAUUAUGAAAGGAAAUAACUAUUUGAAGAGUUAAUUCUGAAAAGAAACAAGUCUUUUCAUACUUUUGAAAAGUCAUAUUAUGAAAAGAAACAAGUCCUUUUAUUGAAAGACAUAUUCGUUAGUUUAUUAUAUAAACAAUGUUCUUACACUGUGAAUUUUACAAUUCUAAUAAGUGUAUUAAGGACUUUGUUGUAUCUUGGAGGUUGAAAAAAAUACUUUAAGGAAAGUGACAAUUCACUCCCUCAAAGUCAUACUUUUUCUUUUUCUGAAAAUAUUAUUCUUCUUCUCAAAUUUUUUAACAUUCUUAAGGUAUUUUUUCAGAACUUUUUCGCAAUUAUUUCAUGAUGGAGACUGGGUUGGAUUCAAGUGUGAAGGUUCAUUUCCAAAAUCAAGAAGUGAUCAAACUCGAUAAAUUCAAUGAAACGAAUUUCACUAGAAUGAGGGAUAAGAUGAUAUUCAUAUUAACCACAUCAAAAAUUUAUUAUGUUCUUGAGAUGGAUCAAACAUUAAAUCCAAAAAAAUCACAUCAAUAGAAGCAACAUUUUUUGAAAAUAUCGCUGCACAACAAUUACUACCAGAACCAUUCCUGAUGUUAACAUGGAGAAACGGAAACAUGAUGAGAUUAUAUGUCUUGGAUACAUUCUCAAUUUUCUCACUGAUCGACUGUAUGAUCUCUUCAGACAUAAGACUUUAGCAAAAGAAAUUUAGACUGCACUUAAGGAAACGCACAAAAAGGAGAAAAAAGGUGCAGAUAAAUUUUUUGCAUUGAGAUACUUUGAGUUUACCAUGACGGAUAUCAAACCAAUUAUGGAUCAAGUACAUGAGUUACGAAUUCUGGCCUCUAAAUUAAGCGAAUUGGAAAUCAGAAUUCUUGACUCACUUCAAGUGGGAGCAAUUCUAUCCAAACUUCCACCUUAUUGGAAUGGAUAUAAGAAGAAAAUUUUGUACUCUCCAGAAAGUUUUACUAUUGAAGAGUUUCAAACUCGUUUGCAUAUUGUGGCAAAAAAUCAUGCUAGAGAUGCACUCAUUCUUGGGUCAAAUAUAAAUUUCAUCAAUGAAAAAGAAAAAGGUUCUGGAAAAUUAAAAAGAAAUAGAACCAGAAAAUAGAUUUCAAGAAAUCCAAGAAAUAUACAAGUGAUAAAAUGUGUUAUCAUUGUGGAAAGAAAGGACAAUUUAUCAAGGAGUGCAAGUUCAAAAAUUAUGAAAAUCUUGAAAACAAGAUUACUGCUUUCGGUUAUAGAAAGAAGGUAAACCUCGUUGAACAUGAUGUUGAAGAGCUUGUUGCGAUGGUGAUUGAAAUACAUAUUGGAAUGGUUACCGAAGUAAAUAUAGCUACUGCAACAAAACAUUCAGAAUGGUGGUUAGAUUUUGGUGCUACUAUUCAUGUUUGCAAUGACAAAGGCAAUUUAAGAGUUAUGAAGAACUCAAGAAACUGAAAGAAUUUCUAAUGGGGAACCAUAAUCCUACUAAGGUACUUGGCAAAGGAACGGUUGAGUUAAAAUUUAUCUUAAGGUAGAAAUUAACUUUACUUAAUGUAUUCCAUGUUCUUGAAAUUAGAAACAAUCUUGUAUCUGCACAUUUAUUAUGUAAGCAUGGUUUUAUGAUUGUACUAGAAUACGAUAAGGUUGUAGUAUCGAAAAAUAUUGUUUUUGUUGGAAAAGGAUAUUCUUAUGACGAAAUGUUCAAACUCAGUAUCAAUGAAAUGAAUAAUUCUUUUGCAUAUACUGUUGAGCAUUCUUCUGACUUAUGGCAUGCUAGAUUAGGUCAUUUAAAUUUUCAAUCUUUAAAAUUUAUGUCAAAACAUGGUUAUAUUUCAUGUCAAAAAGAUAGUUUUGAAAAAUUAAAAUUUGUGUCAAGGCAAAAUUGACUAAAAAACUUUUUUCCAAAAAUUUGAAAGAAAAUUAGAAUUAUUAGAACUUAUACAUUCUGAUAUUUGUGAACUAAAUGGUUUACUAACAAGAGGAGGAAAAAGCUAUUUUAUACGUUCAUUGAUGAUUAUUCUCACUUCACUGAUGUUUAUUUAAUGAAAACAAAAGAUGAAGCAUUUGACAAAUUCAAAGAAUUUAAAACUAUUGUUGAAAAAUCAAAAGGAAAAGAAGAUUAAAAUUCUUCGAAGUUAUAAAGGAGGAGAAUAUUUUCCAAACUCAUUUUCUCUAUUUUGUAAAGAAAAUGGAAUAAUUCAUCAAAGAACAGCUCCUUAUACACCCCAACAUAAUGGAUUAGCUUAAAGAAAAAAUAGAACAUUGGCAGAUAUGGUAAAUAGUAGGUUGUUAAAUGCAAAGGCUCCUUUUAAUCUUUGGAGAGAAGCACUUUUAAUAGCGUGUCAUAUAAGUAAUAGAGUUACUUUAAAGAAAUUACUUAUGACAUUAUACGAAUUAUGGAAUAAUGGUAGAAAACUAAAUUUGAAUUAUUUUAAAGUGUGAGGAUGUAUAGUUUAUUAUAAAGUCACAGAUCCUCAUAAAACGAAAUUAGGACCUAUAGGCAUUAAAAGUAUUUUUGUUGGUCAUGCACAAAAUUCAAGAGCAUAUAGAUUACUUGAUUUAAAUUCUAAUGUUAUAAUUGAAUCUAUAUAUGUUGAUUUCUUUGAAAAUAAAUUUAUUUACAAUUCUAUUAAUGUUAAAAAAGAAAAGCAAGUUAAAAUGGCUCCAAUAGUUGGUGAAAAAAGAAAAGAAAUUAAUGAAUCUAUUGAGCCAAAAAGAAGUCAAAGACUGAGAAAAGAGAAACAUUAGAUUCUGAUUAUGUUUCCCCAUAUUCAAUUAUUUUUCUAGUUAAAGGAGAUAGAACUAAAAUAAUAAAUAAAACACCACUUCUACUAAGUGUAGAUGAAGACCCAAAGGUUUUAGUGAAGCAAUGUCUUCAAGAGAUGCAGUUUUUUGGAAAGAAUCUGUAAAUGAUGAAAUGGACUCAAUAAUGUCUAAUAACACAUGGGUUUUAGUUUAUUUAGCUUCAGGUUCUAAACCAAUUAGAUGUAAAUGGGUGUUUAGAAGAAAAUAUAAGACCGAUGGUUCUUUAGAAACCUUUAAAGUAAGAUUAGUUGCUAAAGGUUUCAAACAAAGGGAAGGCAUAAACUAUUUUGAUACAUAUGCUCCAAUAGCUAGAAUAACAUCUAUUAAAACACUUAUAGCAUUAGCUUCUAUCUAUAUGUUACAUAUACAUUAAAUGGAUGGUAAAACAACCUUUUUAAAUGGUAAUUUAAAGAAAGAAGUAUACAUAGAACAACCAGAAGGUUUAAUACUUCCUGAAAAUAAGAAAAAAGUUUGUAAAUUGGUUAAAUCACUUUAUGGGCCAAAGCAAGCUCCUAAACAAUGAUAUGAAAAAUUUGACUCAUCCAUAUUAUCUUAUGGUUUUAAACAUAAUGGAGCUGACAAGUGUGUUUACUCAAAAUUUACCAAAGAUUAUGGGGUAAUAAUAUGUCUUUAUGUUGAUGAUAUGCUAAUAUUUAGCAAUAACAGGAUCUGCACAAAUGAAACAAACACAUACUCAACCUUUAAAAUGAAGGAUUUGAAUGAGGUUGAUAUCAAUAAUAAUGGUUAUAUUAUCAAUCAAAGUCACUAUAUUGAGAAAUUGAUCAAUAUAAAAGAAUUUAGUACUCCAUAUGACUCAAGUAUGAAAAUCCAUGAGCAUGGUGACCAAGUAAUUGCACAACUUGAAUAUGCUAGUGCUAUUGGAAGCAUUAUGUAUGCUAUGCAUUGCACUAGGCCAAAUAUUGCAUUUGUAAUCUACAAAUUAUCAAGAUAUACAAGUAGGCCUAAUAAAAUUUAUUGGAAAGCCAUUGGGAGAGUUCUUAGAUAUCUUAAAAGAACAAAAAUUUUGACUUACAUUAUUUAGACUAUCCAGGAGUAUUAGAAAGAUACUCUGACGCAAGUUGAAUUACUAGUGCAAAUGAUAAUAAGUCCACUUCAUGUUGGAUUUUUACACUAAGAGGUGGUGCCAUUAGUUAGGCAUCUAAAAAAAAAACUUGCAUAUCACAUUCAACAAUGGAGUUUGAGUUUAUAGCUUUAGCUACAACAGGAAAGGAAGCAGAAUGGUUAAGAAACUUGUUAUUAGAUAUAGAGUUGUAGCCACAACCGAUGCCAGCCAUUUUCUUAUAUUGUGAUAGUGCUACUACAAUGUCUAGAGCAUAUAGUGAUGUCUAUAAUGGAAAAUCUAUACAUAUUAGUUUAAGGCAUAAUUAUAUUAGAGAAUUAAUCUUCAGUGGGGUAAUUACCAUAACAUCUGUUAAAUCUGUAAGUAAUUUUGUAGAUCCUCUAACAAAAGGUUUACCAAGGGAUUUGGUAAGUAGUGUUAUAAAAGGAAUGGGUUUAAGACCCUUAUUAGACACCAAUAACAAGAACCUAACUUUUAAUUAAUAACCUCUAAUUACAAAGUUCAAUGGGUAAAAAUAAGUCAUUGUUAUGUGUCUGUGAUGCACUAUUAGAAUCCAUUCCUCAAAAUCUUGUUUGAAAAUAAUUCAGUCCUUUGCAUAUAGAGGUUGAGUUUAUACUCUUAAUGGAGUUGAAUAUUAUAUUAUGGAAAGAAAAAUGUCUAGAGCAAUGGGGACAUUAAUGAAAACUCCACCUACAUAAACAUAAAGAGUGGUGUCGCUUCAAUAAGAAGAAUUUGGGAGAUUCUCUUGUAAAUGUUUAUUAUGGACAAGAUAAGCUCAUGGCUAUUAUGGUGCUAAAAGUGAACAACCAUUUACAGAAAUAUAAAUGAAUAUUAUGUAUGGUAUAUCUUCAAUUCUAACACUAGCAGUCGAGGUUCAAUCUACAAACACCAUCUACUUCAUUAGGGUCUUGAGAUGCAUUCACUAAUUGAUGGUUCAAAUCGAAAGAUACCUUCUUGUAUGCAUAAUAUUUGUUUGUGUGAAAGGCACAAAAUAAGUAAAUAAUAUAUAUAUAUAUAUAUUAUAAAAAAAAACAAUAUUUCAAACUAGUGGGGGAUUGUUAGAUAGUUUGUUAAUGUUGGAUUUAUUAAUGAAAAGUUGUGACUUAAGAAUUAUAAAUAAUUACCUUAUUAAAAUAUAACUUUUGAAAGGUUAUUAGAUAUAAUUAUCAAAUAAUUGUAUUAUGAAAGGAAACAACUAUUUGAAGAGUUAAUUAUGAAAAGAAACAAGUAUUUUCAUACUAUUUGAAGAGUCAUAUUAUGAAAGGAAAUAAGACUUUUUAUUAAAAGACAUAUACGUUGGUUUAUUAUAUAAACAAUGUUCUUUCACUGCCUAUUUCACAAUUCUGAUAAGUAUGCUAAGGACUUUGUUAUAUCUUAGAAGUUGAAAAAAUACCUUGAGGAAAGUGACAAUUCAUACCCUCAAAGUCAUACUCUUUCUUCUUCUCAAAUUUUCUAGCAUUGGCUCCAUCUCAACUCUUGAGUGCCUAAGCUGCACCAUUUGUUGAGUUUCAUAGAGAAAGAAAAGCUAUAGAAUAAGUGGUUUUAGAUCUUGUUCUGGCUUGAGUGUAAAGCCUCUGGGUCCAUUCAAUAGUGUACUUGUACAGAAGGAACAUGUUCAAAGUCAAACCGUAUGAUGCCCCUGAUAAUGGAAUGAUUUUUCAAAAUAAACGAAAUUUCAAGGUUAAUUUUACUUACCAUACUUGAUUUUUUUUAUGAAGGUAUUUCAAUAAGUUGAUCUUGAAAUUAUGCUACAUGUGAUGGUAAGUUUUUUAAAUGUUCCUUUGGGUUUACUACUAUAAUUUAUAACACAACUAUCUACAUAUGUAGUUGAUGUCGACUCCAUGAAUUUUUGAUGAUAACAAAACAUUUCCAUUCAUUAAUGUCUAACUAUACUACUUAAGUGUGCAGGAUAAAAAUGUAUGUCACGUAAUAAAAUAAUCACUUCAAAGCAAACAUCAAAACUCAUCAGAAUAAGGGGUCACAAAAUGAAUUACAAACAGAAGCCUCUUAGUCGGUUAACUAAAGGAAUUAGUUAGUUAAAAUCCAAAAGUGAAAAUCCAAGGUGAAGGCAGUCAAAUUUGUGAAGAACAAUUCAAGAAGUCUUGGGUGACUAACAUAUCUCAUGACUAAUUAAAGGCAAUGGAAGAUUAGCAUUAAUAAGCUAAGAGAAGAAUUAGUCAAACAAAGAAAAGUUGGUGAAGCUGGUUACUCUAGAAAUAGUAAGCUCUUAAUCGAUUAAAGUCUUUCUUAACCGAUUAACAGAGUAAAGCAGACUAGAAGACAGAGAAGACUUAACUGAUUAAAAAGUAUGGUUAGCCAGCUAAAAGCUCAUUGUCAAAAAAUUUGAAUUUGAAUGUCUGAAGACAAACUAAUGACUAGAAAGGAUUUUAAACUGUUUCCAACAAUUUGAAGUUGUCAAACAUCAUCAGUGUUGAUUUUUCAAGUACAAAAGACAUCUCUAACGACUAAGAAGAUUAUGAGAUGCUUCCAAGAACCAAAGAGAAUUAAGAAUUGCAAAAAUCCUCUCACUCCUUCUUCUUAUAUUUCACUCAAAUCUUUGUAAUAGAAUUUAGCACUUCAUCUUGUAUCAUUCAGAUCAAGUUAGUGAUUAUAGGUACAUCUUCAUAUCUGUAUUCGUUGAUUACUUAGAAUGUGCGAGGCACUCUAAGGGAUUUGAUCAAGCUUAGGAUAGCUUGGUUGUCGUUUUAGGUUCUAACUUACCCUUAGAAAAGUUAGUUUAGACUUUGGUUGAUCCCGAAAAAAAUCAUUGUUAAAGGUUGUGGCUGAGCCUGUGAAAAGCCAUUGUAAAAACUUGGUGGAAGCUUGUGAAUUUUACUGAAUUUAAUGAAGUAACUUAGAAAUCUUAGAUUAAGAGAUCAAGGUAGUAGAUAUAGGUUAAAGGGAUCGAACCACUAUAAAUCAUUGUGUUUUGUUUACUUUCCUUUAACUCUUGACACUUAAAUCAUUCUUCCAACAAGCUUUAAACUUCUACUUUCAAAUUACCUCCAUUAGCUCUUAACUUAGAAAGAAUUUUCUUAUCAUUCAGAAAGUGUUAUUCACCUCCUUUAACAUACUUUUUAGGACCAACAACUGAUGCAUUGCCCUGCAAAGUGACAAUUGGAAUAGUUCGGUUGAUUUGAACUGUCAAGAUUGAUUAAAAUUGAAUUUUAAUGCUUUUACUUCUCUUCAAAUCAUUAUUCAAACUUAUUAUGUACUCAUAAUUAAUGAAAAUGCUAAUUAUCCUAAAAAAUAUACUAUCUUGAAAAAGAAAUAAUUAAUUAUGGGAUGCAAGGGCUUCAAACUGCUGCAGCUUUUAGGUUUGGGAUUCAGGGCCCAAACAAGGUGUCCUUGUUGUUCCUUCCUUUAUUUUACUUGGUACAACCUUUGAAUUUAUUGGUUUUCUUUUAUUCUACCUAUUCUAUUUAUUGGGUACUAGCCUUAUUUGAUUCAAAUUCGACAUGAUCUAAGUUGGACAAUUUGAAUAAUUAAUUCAAAAUGAUCCAAAUAUGAAUAAUCAGUAUAAAUUUAAUUCGAUUAAUUUUAACUUGAAUCUAAGAUAACUUAAAUCCUAAUGACUAAUUCCUAAUAAUCUAAACCUGCAUGAUAUAAAUUUUAAUAAUUUAAAAGUCCAACUAAAAUUUGUCGAAUUUAAAAUGAACCAUAUUAAAUCUGAAUUUGAUCAUUAUUUUUGAGUCGUUGUCACCUCAUGAAAAAAGUUAGAUUUCUAAAGAAGUGUUUAUGAAAGGUGCUUCAUAAUAUGUAUAAAAAAAUUUACUCUGUAAUUGAGGAAGUUUCUUUAACCUUUUGGCAAGUCUCUAAAAGGUUACCUUAAUAAUUGACUCUCAACUCUUAAUGUGUUAAAUUUUAGAUGGGCAUCUAAAGUGAUAACAAAUAGAGAGGCCUUUGCUAUAUUUAUUUAAAAUAUAAAGAAUUUAAGAGAUGUGAGAUUAUCACCAAUUUAAUAUUCUCCCUCCGUUCAUGUGUACGUAGUACAGGCUUAUCACAUGCACGAGACAAAUAGAAAAGAGACUAAAGGAAAGGCCAAUAACAAACAAGGCAAUGCCUUUUUUUAAUAUUGUAUUGAAUUUGUAAGACGAGCAUUCAACCUUAAAUCAAUUAGUAAUAAGUGAUGAUAUUCUUGUUAUAUUAUAUACCCAACAUACGCCUAAUUUAAUAGACUUGGGAUUUCUUUUAUCACCGCUUCAAGAUUCUCCUUUAUGCAAAAAUCACAAAUCUAUCACACGACACGAAUCAACGAAAAGGCCAGCGAAUGAACUCUACUACUAUGUUGAAUUUUUAAGACUAUAUCCAACUUAAAACCAAAAUACUCCUAAUUUAUCUAGUAUAAAUUUCUUUUAUCAUCAAUCUAAUACUCUGCUUCACAUUUAAGGGCCACAGAUCUAUUACGUAACGUAAAUCAACGAAGGAGAGUGACAGAGGAGCUAACAAAUAGGAGUAGUGCCUACUUAUAUAUAUAUAUAUACAAAAAGAAACAAUUUUUUCUCUUAGAAUAGUUCAAUAUGAUCUAUGUUUUCAGUUGGUUACAAUUUGUCCUCAUCUAUUUUGUAUUGUCUCUUUUUCUUUUUGGGCUCCCUAAACACUUUUCUUAUCCCCAGAUCAAAUUUAAAAUUUUAAAAAAAAUUUAUCCAUACAUCAAACUUAAAAUCUAAAAAGAAAGGGCUCCCUAGACACUUUUCUUGUCCAUAGAUCAAAGUUAAAAUCUUAAAAUUCUUUUUAGUACAUGAAAAGGAACAGGACAUAUGUGCCUUACAAGUUUUUUGGAUCCUUUGGUUGGUUUGGCCAUUUGCUUUGCCAGUAGAUUGUGUGUCACGGUCCUAACAAUCCUGUGAAAUAUUGUUUAUUUUGGCCAACUAGCCUUACAAUUUUGUCCCACAAAAGGCACCUUACAAGUUAAAGGUGGUGUGAACAUAUGUUCAAUAUCACUCUAGUACAAAGUCAAUGUGGGAGUCAUGGCUCCCCUCUUUAGAACCAUAAAAUCCUCUCUUACUCUCGAUUGAGAGUUUUUUUUUUAUGUGAGACUUUGUGGCUCUACUCGUUGGGGGCAUUAUCUCGACGAUAUAGUCAUAGCGUGGAUAUUAUGAAUCCCACAUUGUAGAGUUAUAAGUCCCAUAUCAAUGAAAAGUUGAUUUCAUGAUCUUAGAGGGGAGUCAUGAAUCCCGCAUCAACUAUGUACUAAAGUGAUACUAAGCAUAUAAGAGUUCACACCAUUUUAACUUGUAAGAUGUUUUGUGAGAUAAAAACGUGAGUCCAAUGGGUUAAAGCGGUGGACCGUAUAACUAGCUAGAAAGGUGGACAGCAUGGGUGUGCACAAAAGGAAAGUCUUAAAGUUUAAUAUAAAUACGGUGAUCAUGUAGGAAAAAGGUUGGAAUAUAUACAAUUAGUUAUUAAUUUGAGUCUCUUAUGAGACUAAAAAAUAUUAAAUCACGAGAGGGAUGUUCCAAAAUUUUAAUUUACAAGAGCUGUAAUGGCUAAUAGGUUUCUAUGGAAAUAUAGUUUGAAAAGGAAUAUUAAAUAUAUGGUUUAAUUGAAUUUGUACACCAAGAAGAUUUUCCUUGUAGUUUCACACAAGAAAUCUAUAACUUUUUGCAUAAAUGGGAAUAUAUUAUACUCUUAACUAGUCAUAAGCUGAUAGGAAGAUCCACUUUAUACAGAUUAAUCAAUGCGUCCAGUAUGAUCGAAACAAGAUGUGCUAGAUUACUAUAUAUCAUGAUAUGCUGCGCACGUAUCAAACUUUACAAUCCCCAAACCCUUUUCAAUGUUUACAAACGCAGGUCUGGGAUACCGGUGAAUCUUUCAGCUUUGCUGCACUUCAUGCAAUCAACCGCACUCGAGGUCAUAUCCAGUGCUUUCAACUUCAUUUCUAAACAUAUUAAAACAAUUUAGCAAAAUCAAUAGAAUACUCUUUUCCAGACAUAAAC